GCCGUGAGGUGUUGCCUUAAGUGGCGCAACGAGCGCAACCCCUAUCCUUAGUUGCCAGCGGGUCAUGCCGGGAACUCUAGGGAGACUGCCGGUGCCAAACCGGAGGAAGGUGGGGAUGACGUCAAGUCAUCAUGCCCCUUAUGUCCAGGGCUGCACGCAUGCUACAAUGCGCGGUACAAAGGGUUGCGAUCCCGCAAGGGGGAGCGAAUCCCAAAAAGCCGCGCUCAGUUCGGAUCGGGGUCUGCAACCCGACCCCGUGAAGUCGGAGUCGCUAGUAAUCGCAGAUCAGCAAUGCUGCGGUGAAUACGUUCCCGGGCCUUGUACACACCGCCCGUCACACCACGAAAGUGGGCAACACCCGAAGCCGGUGGCCCAACCCUUGUGGAGGGAGCCGUCGAAGGUGGGGCUCGCGAUUGGGGUGAAGUCGUAACAAGGUAGCCGUACCGGAAGGUGCGGCUGGAUCACCUCCUUUCUAAGGAGCCUGUUGGCAAGCCGAGACCGGCCGUUCGUGCCGGAGCCUCGGAUGACUCCAGGUCGAUGCACUGGCUACUCGUCCGGCGACGAUCGCCGAACCCACUCACAAGUACGUCCCUUCGGGGAAGUUGAACGGGGGUGGGGGAGGGAUCUCAGCCGGCCGGGCACACUGUUCAGCUCUGGGGGUGCGAGCCCUCGGGCACCUUGAGAACUCGAUAGCGAGCGCGAGCAUCUAUAGUCAAGUUACUAAGGGCUUACGGUGGAUGCCUUGGCGCCAGGAGCCGAUGAAGGACGCGUCAGGCUGCGAAAAGCCUCGGGGAGCCGCCGAGAAGGCUACGAUCCGAGGGUGU
rnacentral:sRNA from 1 species